GAGGUGGGAGGCUCCCUUGAGCCUGGGAGGUUGAGGGUGCAGUGAGCCGUGAUUGCACCACUGCACUCCAGCCUGAGUGACAGAGCAAGACCUUGUCUCA
rnacentral:miRNA from 1 species